AGACAACCAGGAUGUUGGCUUAGAAGCAGCCAUACAUUUAAAGAGUGCGUAAUAGCUCACUGGUCGAGUGAUCCUGCGCCGAAAAUUACCGGGGCUAAAACAUAAUACCGAAGCUUUGGAUUAUACUGUAAAGUAUAGUGGUAGGAGAGCAUCGUAUACAGGACGAAGCAGAAUCGAAAGAAAAAGUGGACCGUAUACGAGAGAGAAUGUUGGCAUGAGUAGCGAGAGGAAGGUGAGAAUCCUUCCGGCCGAAAACCUAAGGUUUCCUGAGGAAGGUUCGUCCGCUCAGGGUAAGUCGGGACCUAAGCCAAGGCCGAAAGGCGUAGGUGAUGGACAACGGGUAAUAAAUCCCGUACCACCGUAGUUGAAUGAGCGAAGGGGGGACGCAGGAGGAUGACCGGAGCACGCCGUUGGUAGAGCGUGUCCAAGCAGAAAGCGAGUAAGACCAGGCAAAUCCGGUAAUACAAUCGUAAUCUGUGAUGGGGAGUGAAAAUAAAGUAGCGAAGCCGAAUCAUUCAAACUGCCAGGAAAAGCCUCUAGCAAGACCAAGGUGCCCGUACCGCAAACCGACACAGGUAGGUGAGGAGAGAAUCCUAAGGCCAGCGAGAGAACUGUUGUUAAGGAACUCGGCAAAAUAACCCCGUAACCUAGGGAGAAGGGGAGCCUGUGAGAGCAGGCCGCAGAGAAUAGGCCCAAGCGACUGUUUACCAAAAACAUAGGUUUCUGCAAAACUGCAAAGUGAAGUAUAGGAGCUGACGCCUGCCCGGUGCUGGAAGGUUAAGGGGAAGACUUAGAGCAAUCGAAGGUUCGAACUUAAGCCCCAGUAAACGGCGGCCGUAACUAUAACGGUCCUAAGGUAGCGAAAUUCCUUGUCGGGUAAGUUCCGACCCGCACGAAAGGCGUAACGAUUUGGGCACUGUCUCAACAACAGACUCGGUGAAAUUGUAGUGCCGGUGAAGAUGCCGGACACCUGCGACAGGACGGAAAGACCCCAUGGAGCUUUACUGCAGCUUAGCAUUGGAUUUAGGUAACAGAUGUACAGGAUAGGUGGGAGACUGUGAAUAUAGGGCGUCAGCCUUGUAGGAGUCAUCGUUGGGAUACCACCCUUGUGUUGCUUGAAUUCUAACUAGAAUCAUUGAAUCAUGAUAUAGGACACUGCUUGGCAGGCAGUUUGACUGGGGCGGUCGCCUCCCAAAGAGUAACGGAGGCGUCCAAAGGUUCCCUCAUCACGGACGGAAAUCGUGAGAAGAGUGCAAAGGCAAAAGGGAGCUUGAUUGCGAGACAAACAGGUCGAGCAAGGACGAAAGUCGGGCUUAGUGAUCCGGUGGUAGAAAGUGGAAUUGCCAUCGCUCAACGGAUAAAAGCUACCCUGGGGAUAACAGGCUUAUCUCCCCCAA
rnacentral:rRNA from 1 species